UCCUACGGGACGCAGCAGUGGGGAAUAUUGCACAAUGGGGGGAACCCUGAUGCAGCGACGCCGCGUGGGUGAGGAAGUACUUCGGUAUGUAAAGCCCUAUCAGCAGGGAAGAAAAUGACGGUACCUGACUAAGAAGCCCCGGCUAACUACGUGCCAGCAGCCGCGGUAAUACGUAGGGGGCAAGCGUUAUCCGGAUUUACUGGGUGUAAAGGGAGCGUAGACGGCAUAGCAAGUCUGAAGUGAAAGCCCGUGGCUCAACCGCGGAACUGCUUUGGAAACUGUUAAGCUGGAGUACUGGAGAGGCA
rnacentral:rRNA from 1 species